GGAGGGGUGCGAGAGCGGCCGAAUCGGCACGACUGGAAAUCGUGUGUCGGGCAACCGACCGUGGGUUCGAAUCCCACCCUCUCCGCCA
rnacentral:tRNA from 1 species